rnacentral:rRNA from 1 species
UGAAUACGAGAUGCUACGGCGUCGAAGCAGUGUAUGUCAGACUUCCAAGAAAAGCUCGCAAUGUCAUAAAUAAAGAAUGCCUGUACCAUAACCGACACAGGUGGGUAGGUAGAGUAUACUAAGGGGCGCGAGAUAACUCUCUCUAAGGAACUCGGCAAAAUAACUCCGUAACUUCGGGAGAAGGAGUGCCUUCUUUAAGAAGGUUGCAAUAACAAGAUCCAAGCAACUGUUUAUCAAAAACACAGGUCUCCGCUAAGUCGUAAGACGAUGUAUGGGGGCUGACGCCUGCCCAGUGCCAGAAGGUUAAAGAAGUUGGUUAGCUUUUGCGAAGCUGAUGACUGAAGCCCUGGUGAACGGCGGCCGUAACAAUAACGGUCCUAAGGUAGCGAAAUUCCUUGUCGGGUGAGUUCCGACCCGCACGAAAGGCGUAAUGAUUUGGAUACUGUCUCGGAGAGGGACUCGGUGAAAUAGACUUGUCUGUGAAGAUGCGGACUACCUGCACCAGGACAGAAAGACCCUAUGAAGCUUUACUGUAACUUGAAAUUGAAAUUGGACUUUAUUUGCGCAGUAUAGGUGGAAGGCGUUGAAAGUAAUCUUGCGGGAUUAGUGGAGCCAUCAGUGAGAUACCACUCCUAUAAUGUUAGAUUUCUAACUUUGGAUCAUGAUCUGGUCAAAGAACAGUUUCAGGCGGGCAGUUUGACUGGGGCGGUCGCCUCCCAAAUGGUAACGGAGGCGUACAAAGGUUUCCUCUGAACGGGUAGAAAUCGUAUCUAGAGUGUAAAGGCAUAAGGAAGCUUGACUGUGAGACCUACAAGUCGAGCAGGGACGAAAGUCGGUCUUAGUGAUCUGACGGUGCUGAGUGGAAAGGCCGUCACUCAACGGAUAAAAGUUACUCUAGGAUAACAGGCUGAUCUCCCCCAAGAGUUCACAUCGACGGGGAGGUUUGGCACCUCGAUGUCGGCUCAUCGCAUCCUGGGGCGGUAGUACGUCCCAAGGGUUGGGCUGUUCGCCCAUGAAAGCGGUACGCGAGCUGGGUUCAGAACGUCGUGAGACAGUUCGGUCCAUAUCCGGUGUAGGCGUUAGAAUAUUGAGAGGAGCCUUCUUUAGUACGAGAGGACCGAGAAGGACAUACCUCUGGUGUACCAGUUAUCGUGCCAACGGUAAACGCUGGGUAGCUAUGUAUGGAGAGGAUAACCGCUGAAAGCAUCUAAGUGGGAAGCCCACCUCAAGAUGAGUA